UACAGGGGGGGCAAGCGUUGUUCGGAAUUACUGGGCGUAAAGGGCUUGUAGGCGGCCAACUAAGUCACACGUGAAAUCCCCAGGCUUAACCUGGGAACUGCGUGUGAUACUGGAUGGCUUGAAUUCGGGAGAGGGAUGCAGAAUUCCAGGUGUAGCGGUGAAAUGCGUAGAUAUCGGGAGGAAUACCAGUGGCGAAGGCGGCUUCCUGGCCUGUUCUUGACGCUGAGGCGCGAAAGCUGGGGGAGCAAACGGG
rnacentral:rRNA from 1 species